GACGAACGCUGGCGGCGUGCUUAACACAUGCAAGUCGAACGGAAAGGCCCUGCUUUUGUGGGGUGCUCGAGUGGCGAACGGGUGAGUAACACGUGAGUAACCUGCCCUUGACUUUGGGAUAACUUCAGGAAACUGGGGCUAAUACCGGAUAGGAGCUCCUGCUGCAUGGUGGGGGUUGGAAAGUUUCGGCGGUUGGGGAUGGACUCGCGGCUUAUCAGCUUGUUGGUGGGGUAGUGGCUUACCAAGGCUUUGACGGGUAGCCGGCCUGAGAGGGUGACCGGCCACAUUGGGACUGAGAUACGGGCCAGACUCCUGCAGGAGGCAGCAGUGGGGAAUAUUGCACGAUGGGCGGAAGCCUGAUGCAGCAACGCCGCGUGCGGGAUGACGGCCUUCGGGUUGUAAGCCGCUUUCGCCUGUGACGAAGCGUGAGUGACGAUAAUGGGUAAAGAAGCACCGGCUAACUACGUG
rnacentral:rRNA from 1 species